UGGAUAAUCUACCCGAUGGACGGGAUACAUUUCGAAAGGGGUGCUAAUACCGGAUAAGAGCACGGCUUCUUAGGGGGCUGCGGUAAAAGGUGGGGACCUUCGGGCCUACCGUCAUCGGAUGAGUCCGCGUACCAUUAGCUAGUUGGUAGGGUAAGGGCCUACCAAGGCGACGAUGGUUAGCUGGUCUGAGAGGAUGAUCAGCCACACUGGAACUGAGACACGGUCCAGACUCCUACGGGAGGCAGCAGUGGGGAAUUUUGCGCAAUGGGGGAAACCCUGACGCAGCAACGCCGCGUGAGUGAUGAAGGCCUUCGGGUCGUAAAGCUCUGUCAGAGGGGAAGAAGUGCAGGGGUGCUAAUAUCACCUUUGCUUGACGGUACCCUCAAAGGAAGCACCGGCUAACUCCGUGCCAGCAGACGCGGUAAUACGGAGGGUGCGAGCGUUGUUCGGAAUUAUUGGGCGUAAAGCGCGUGU
rnacentral:rRNA from 1 species